UUAAGUUCAGCGGGUAGUCUUGCCUGAUUUGAGAUCAUUGUAUAAGUAUUGGCGGAUUGGUCGAUCAACAGAGUAGCUCCUUGUCACGAACAACCGUGCAUGAAUUCAAGACGAUCAGUGAUGAAGGUCCAUGUCUUGACCAGCAGGGGAUCACAACCAGAAGGAUGCGAUCGAAUGGAUCAAAGGGGAUAAAUGAUUCU
rnacentral:misc_RNA from 1 species